rnacentral:rRNA from 1 species
UGGCGGUCUGCUUACACAUGCAAGUCGAACGCAACUUCGGGUUGAGUGGCGGACGGGUGAGUAACGCGUGAGAAUCUGCCUUGGGGUCGGGGACAACCACUGGAAACGGUGGCUAAUACCGGAUAAGCCUUUGGGUAAAAAAUUUAUUGCCCCAAGAGGAGCUCGCGUCUGAUUAGCUAGUUGGUGAGGUAAAAGCUCACCAAGGCAGCGAUCAGUAGCUGGUCUGAGAGGACGAUCAGCCACACUGGGACUGAGACACGGCCCAGACUCCUACGGGAGGCAGCAGUGGGGAAUUUUCCGCAAUGGGCGAAAGCCUGACGGAGCAAGACCGCGUGAGGGAGGAAGGCUCUUGGGUUGUAAACCUCUUUUCUCAGGGAAGAAGCUCUGACGGUACCUGAGGAAUCAGCCUCGGCUAACUCCGUGCCAGCAGCCGCGGUAAUACGGAGGAGGCAAGCGUUAUCCGGAAUUAUUGGGCGUAAAGCGUCCGCAGGUGGCGAUUCAAGUCUGCUGUCAAAGCACGGGGCUUAACUCCGUUAAGGCAGUGGAAACUGAAUAGCUAGAGUGCCGUAGGGGUAGAGGGAAUUCCCGGUGUAGCGGUGAAAUGCGUAGAGAUCGGGAAGAACAUCGGUGGCGAAAGCGCUCUACUGGACGGCAACUGACACUCAGGGACGAAAGCUAGGGGAGCGAAUGGGAUUAGAUACCCCAGUAGUCCUAGCUGUAAACGAUGGAUACUAGGUGUAGCUUGUAUCGACCCGAGCUGUGCCGAAGCUAACGCGUUAAGUAUCCCGCCUGGGGAGUACGCACGCAAGUGUGAAACUCAAAGGAAUUGACGGGGGCCCGCACAAGCGGUGGAGUAUGUGGUUUAAUUCGAUGCAACGCGAAGAACCUUACCACGUCUUGACAUGUCCGGAAUCCCGGUGAAAGCUGGGAGUGCCUU